UACAGAGGGUGCAAGCGUUGCUCGGAAUCAUUGGGCGUAAAGGGCAGGUAGGUGGUCUCAUUUGUCUGGGGUGAAAGCCUUGGGCUUAACCCAAGAAGUGCCUCGGAAACGGUGAGACUCGAGUACUGGAGAGGGUCGUGGAAUUCCCGGUGUAGAGGUGAAAUUCGUAGAUAUCGAGAGGAACACCGGUGGCGAAGGCGGCCAACUGGACGAAUACUGACGCUGAGACACGAAAGCGUGGGGAGCAAACAGG
rnacentral:rRNA from 1 species